GCAUGCAAGUCGAGCGAUCUCGCAAGAGAUAGCGGCAAACGGGUGAGGAAUACAUAGGUAAUCUUCCCCUAAAUCAGAAAUAGCCCUAUGAAAGUAGGGGUAAUGUCCGAUAGUAUCGUUGGAACGCAUGUUUCGAUGAUUAAAGACUGGGACCGUAAGGCCAGUCGUUUAGGGAUGAGCCGAUGUCUUAUCAGCUAGUUGGUGGGGUAACGGCUCACCAAGGCUAAGACAAGUAGCUGGUCUGAGAGGAUGGUCAGCCACACUGGGACUGAGACACUGCCCAGACUCCUACGGGAGGCUGCAGUCGAGGAUAUUUAGCAAUGGGCGAAAGCCUGACUAUGCGACGCCGCGUGAGGGAUGAAGGUUUUCGGAUCGUAAACCUCUUUUAGCAGGAAAGAAACCUUUCAAGUUAAUAGCUUGAAAGCUGACGGUACCUGCAGAAUAAGCCACGGCUAACUCCGUGCCAGCAGCCGCGGUAAUACGGAGGUGGCAAGCGUUACUCGGAAUUAUUGGGUGUAAAGGGCAAGUAGGUGGCUUGGUAAGUGAGGGGUGAAAUACUCCGGCUCAAUCGGAGAACUGCCUUUCAUACUGCCUUGCUUGAGGAUGACAGGGGGAAAGGGAAUUCCAGGUGUAAGGGUGAAAUCUGUAGAUAUCUGGAAGAACACCAGCGGCGAAGGCGCUUUCCUGGGUCACUCCUGACACUAAAUUGCGAAAGCUAGGGGAGCAAACAGAAUUAGAUACUCUGGUAGUCCUAGCCGUAAACGAUGAGCACUAGAUGUCGGGCCCGUCA
rnacentral:rRNA from 1 species